rnacentral:rRNA from 1 species
GUAGGGGGCCAGCGUUGUCCGGAUUCAUUGGGCGUAAAGAGCGUGUAGGCGGCCAUGUAGGUCCGAUGUGAAAACUCGAGGCUCAACCUCGAGCUGUCAUUGGAAACCAUGUGGCUAGAGUCCGGAAGAGGAGAGUGGAAUUCCUGGUGUAGCGGUGAAAUGCGCAGAUAUCAGGAAGAACACCUAUGGCGAAGGCAGCUCUCUGGGACGGUACUGACGCUGAGACGCGAAAGCGUGGGGAGCGAACAGGAUUAGAUACCCUGGUAGUCCACGCCGUAAACGAUGGGCGCUAGGUGUGGGCGGUGUCGACUCCGUCCGUGCCGCAGCUAACGCAUUAAGCGCCCCGCCUGGGGAGUACGGCCGCAAGGCUAAA